rnacentral:misc_RNA from 1 species
GAUGAAGAACGUAGCGAAAUGCGAUACUUGGUGUGAAUUGCAGAAUCCCGUGAACCAUCGAGUCUUUGAACGCAAGUUGCGCCCGAAGCCAUUAGGCCGAGGGCACGCCUGCCUGGGCGUCACACGUCGUUGCCCCCCCAUCUACUCCUUCGGGAUUGCGGGGGGCGGAUGAUGGCCUCCCGUGCGCCUCGCCGCGCGGUUGGCAUAAAUGCCAAGUCCUCGGCGGCGCACGCCACGACAAUCGGUGGUUGCGAAACCUCGGUUGCCCGUCGUGUGCGGUCGUCGCGCAUCGAGGGCUCGAAAAAAUUGCCGGGUUCCGGCUCGGCUUUCAACGCGACCCCAGGUCAGGCGGGGUUACCCGCUGAAUUUAAGCAUAUCAAUAAGCGGAGGA